rnacentral:rRNA from 1 species
UACAACUUUCAACAACGGAUCUCUUGGCUCUCGCAUCGAUGAAGAACGCAGCGAAAUGCGAUACGUAAUGUGAAUUGCAGAAUUCAGUGAAUCAUCGAAUCUUUGAACGCACCUUGCGCCCCUUGGCAUUCCGAGGGGCACACCCGUUUGAGUGUCGUGAAAUUCUCAAA